rnacentral:rRNA from 1 species
GACAGAGGUCCCAAGCGUUAGGCGGAAUCACUGGGCUUAAAGCGUGUGUAGGCGGAUUUGUAAGUACCUUGUGAAAUCCCACGGCUCAACCGUGGAACUGCUUGGUAUACUGCUUAUCUUGGGUCAUCUAGGGGCGAGCGGAACAAACGGUGGAGCGGUGAAAUGCGUAGAUAUCGUUUGGAACGCCAAUGGUGAAAACAGUUCGCUGGGGAUGUACCGACGCUGAGACACGAAAGCCAGGGGAGCGAACGGG